ensembl:lncRNA
AAAACAGUCAACACUGAUGACUUUCUCCUAAAACAGACAACAGAAUCUGAUCACGAUCUCUUGAAACAGGCAACAUAAUCUGAUUACGAUCUCUUGAAACAGACAACAGAAUCUGAUCAUGUUCUCCUGGAACUGACAACAGACUCUGGCCACGUUCUCCUAGAACAGACAACAGACUCCGGCCACGUACUCCUGAAACCGACAACACUCUGAUCACUUUCUCCUAAAACCGACAACACUCUGAUCAGGUUCUCCUGAAACCAACAACACUCUGAUCAGGUUCUCCUGAAACCAACAACACUCUGAUCACAUUCUCCUGCUCAGACAUUGUAUCAACCUGGUUGCAACUGGGUCAUCUGUCUCAUUACCUGUAUAUAAUCCUGUCUAGCUGUCUGAUGUGGUGUAGUCCUGUCUGUCAGUCUGAUGUGGUGUAGUCCUGUCUGUCAGUCUGAUGUGGUGUAGUCCUGUUUGUCAGUCAGUCUGAUGUGGUGUAGUCCUGUUUGUCAGUCAGUCUGAUUUGGUGUAGUCCUGUUUGUCAGUCUGUCAGAGGUGGUAUAGUCCUGUCUGUCAGUCUGUCUGAUGUGGUGUAGUCCUGUCUGUCAGUCUGUCUGAUGUGGUAUAGUCCUGUCUGUCAGUCUGUCUGAUGUGGUGUAGUCCUGUCUGUCAGUCUGUCUGAUGUGGUGUAGUCCUGUCUGUCAGUCUGUCUGAGGUGGUAUAGUCCUGUCUGUCUGUCAGUCUGAUGUGGUGUAGUCCUGUCUGUCUGUCAGUCUGAUGUGUAGGCCUGUCUGUUUGAGGUGGUUUAGUCCUGUUUGCCUGUCUGAGUGCAGUGGUACUGUCCUGUCUGCCUACCUGUAUUUCUGUGAGGGGGCAUGGGGACAGGUAAGUUGGAAGGAUAAGAAACAAACAGGGCAAUGCUGACAUCUAGUGGUCACACACAGAACUACACUCUUCACAACAGACAAAAUGGAUCCCAGUCCAGUACUUAAUAUGUUAGUCAUUAAAUUACCUUUUUUGUUUUUUUUUAUCAACUAUGACCUACAAACAUUAAUAAUCGCCUGUAUUUAAGAACCUAUAGUACUUUACAAUUGUAUUUGAGUUACAGAAGCGUUACAUUAUAUCCCACAUGCUUUUUUAUACAAGUGGAGCAUUUACUGUAAAGAAUCUGUAACGUUACUGUUUAUUUACACGAUGAACUUGUUGACGAUGAAAUGUCUCUGUCAAGUAGUCCAACAAUUACCCCCCAAAAUAAUAAACAGUUUGGGAUUAUAGAAAUGUUCUCAUAACACACAAUCCAGCUCUCAAAUGCUGAGGGACCACUAGGUUAGAUUCUGUUACAGAACACAAUGUCUUAAAGCAUAGGAGGCAGGAGUUAACAUUAACACUGAAUAGAAGAGGAGACAGGAGUUAACAUUAACACUGAAUAGAAGAGGAGACAGGAAUUAACAUUAACACUGAAUAGAAGAGGAGACAGGAGUUAACAUUAACACUGAAUAAAAGAGGAGACAGGAAUUAACAUUAACACUGAAUAGAAGAGGAGACAGGAAUUAACAUUUACACUGAAUAGAAGAGGAGACAGGAGUUAACAUUAACACUGAAUAAAAGAGGAGACAGGAAUUAACAUUAACACUGAAUAGAAGAGACAGGAGUUAACAUUAACACUGAAUAGAGGAGGAGACAGGAGUUAACAUUAACACUGAAUAGAGGAGGAGACAGGAGUUAACAUUAACACUGAAUAGAGGAGGAGACAGGAAUUAACAUUAACACUGAAUAGAGGAGGAGACAGGAGUUAACAUUAACACUGAAUAGAGGAGGAGACAGGAGUUAACAUUAACAUUGAAUAGAGGAGGAGACAGGAGUUAACAUUAACACUGAAUAGAGGAGGAGACAGGAGUUAACAUUAACACUGAAUAGAAGAGGAGACAGGAAUUAACAUUAACACUGAAUAGAAGAGGAGACAGGAGUUAACAUUAACACUGAAUAGAAGAGGAGACAGGAGUUAACAUUAACACUGAAUAGAAGAGGAGACAGGAAUUAACAUUAACACUGAAUAGAAGAGGAGACAGGAAUUAACAUUAACACUGAAUAGAAGAGGAGACAGGAAUUAACAUUAACACUGAAUAGAGGAGACAGGAGUUAACAUUAACACUGAAUAGAGGAGACAGGAGUUAACAUUAACACUGAAUAGAGGAGACAGGAGUUAACAUUAACACUGAAUAGAGGAGACAGGAGUUAACAUUAACACUGAAUAGAGGAGACAGGAGUUAACAUUAACACUGAAUAGAGGAGACAGGAGUUAACACUAACACUGAAUAGAGGAGACAGGAGUUAACACUAACACUGAAUAGAGGAGACAGGAGUUAACAUUAACACUGAAUAGGAGACAUGGGUAAAGACAUAACAUGGGUAAAGACGUAACAUGAGACAUGGGUAAAGAUGUAACAUGGGACAUGGGUAAAGAUGUAACAUGGGACAUGGGUAAAGAUGUAACAUGGGACAUGGGUAAAGGUGUAACAUGAGACAUGGGUAAAGACAUAACAUGGGACAUUAGUUAAGACAUAGGUUAAUAUUGAUAAAAUACAAAGUAGCACAACAUGAAUGUAUGGAGUAGGUCAGGGACCAGCCUUGUCACCCACACACAAACAACUAAACAUUAGAAUUCAGCUGCACACCACCCCAUGCACGUGUGGAAACCUGAGUUUGAUUGGUAAAGGGAAUUGGGUGACUUAACCCUACACUAUUCAAUGGCCAAGAUUGUUUACAACUGUGAAACCCACUAAGAUCUGCACAAGGGCCAUAGCGACCUUGAGGUUGUUCUCCAUCAGUGAGACUUCUCCCAGAGGAGUAAAGGCAUGAAUAACCAGUUAGGGCUUCCACCUUAUUACAAGGCCAGUGGAUGAGACUUCCAGGGGAUAAAGGGUCAUUAGACCACCCUGCAGAACUGGAAAAAGCUUCUUGUUACUGUUUCUACCAGGUUGUUAAUUGUGUUCCAGGACCAAAUCCGUCCUUUAUUAGCAGGGUAAAACAUUUUGGUCACCCAGGACCGAAGUAGAAAACUUUAUGCGUUGUUUUUCAGAUAACUAGGGGAUAUUUUCACAGGGUGACCAACAACAGCCUUCACACAGAAAACACCACACUACCAAAUAAAAAAGAGGCAACCAAUACGUUUGGAGGAAAAAUCCCAGGUCGUUUUAUUGGAGACUUCCAGGACACCAGAGGACAAACACAGACGAACGGACUACUGCAAUUCCUCUAAAAAAAACACAAUGUGUGUUUAGAAAACCAGCAAGAUGGAGGGUGGUCAAACACCACUGUUGCAUCGACGAGACACGCUUGUCACUGUGCCUGGAAUGUCUCUCAUGAUCAUCUUCCUCUUAUUGGACAACACGCUUACAACAUGUUUAAUGUAAAAACAGGAACAAGAAGACAAAGCCAGGGAAUUCACUGCACAUAACAGACAGGAUCCAAACAGAACAUCAGGGAGAACCGCUAAUAAACCAGGACUACGGUAUAAGAACAGUAGAAGAACCAACCAUGGGGGAGGAGGGAACACACAGGAACAGAAGCACUCCCAACGCUGCCUUCUGGCCAAGACGCUUUACUCCCUACACAAAUCAAGCCAUCAACAAUCAUGAAAUGCCGUUUAAAAAAGACUUUAGUGUGUUCAUCAUCACUUUGUUGAUACGACUACUGCAGCUCUGCAUCAUAUUAAUCAGCUUUGCUUUGUGCUAAAAAUCUGUACGGACAGUAGAUAGGACAGUAGAUAGGGUACUUAUAAAAUCACUGAUAAAAAUAUUCCUCUGUUAACAAUAUGCCUCGGAGGGAAACCAUGGACACUGGGGCUGGGUUGGGGGCUAGGGGUCAGAGGUGAGGGGUCGGCAGUGUUGCUACUCAGACUUGGCUUCCUCCUUCUCAGCUUCGGGAGCCUCCUCCACCUGUAGGGGCAGAGGUCAGGUCAGAGGUCAGGUCAGUAGAACAUAGACAGUCCUUCCUGGUUGUGUCUUAUCUUUAACAGCAGCUCAUCAAGCCAACAAACAGCUUAGAUAACUUUAUCUCUCCCUUAUGUCCUACGUUAUGAAGCUCCAUCUUACUGUCUUCUGUCUCUAACAUACUCAUGUCCUCUACAGUCUUCUGUCUGUCUCCACCUGGGUGGUCUCAGGUUCUAUGUCCCUCAAAACAUCUCUAUAGAUGUUCAUGACAUCUUACGUCCGCUCGUACCUCGUUGGUCUUGGCGUCUCCGUUCUCAGAGUGGUUUUCCUCUGCAGCCUCGGCUUCUGCGUUCUCCUUCGCCUUCUUGGUCUUCUUGUCCUCUUUCUUAUCGUUGACAACCUUCUCUUUCUGAAGAGGAUGACAGAUAUUAGACAACCACCUCUUUCUGGAAAGGAUGACAGACAACUUUCUCUUUCUGGAUGGUACCUGGACUACUUUAUUUCAUUAGAUGUUUAGUUUGCCCUUAUUUUACCAGGUACCUUGACUGAGAACCUUCAGUCAAGGUAAUAGUUUUGAACUUUGGAAAUAGUUUCAAGGGAAGCAGAGAGGAUUAAAGGCCAGAUUGGAAAUGUGUUCUAUUUCUAAAGAGGUGAGGGUGAUUGAACUAGGACAGCGGUAGUCCUGUUGUGUGAUGCUUCUGGGGUUUGGAGUCCAGUUGUAUUACGUUUUUGUUAAGCUAUGCAUUACUGUAAUUAGUAGUUCUGUUAGGUUACGUGUAACCCUGGCAGUUCUGUUAGGUUACGUGUAACCCUGGCAGUUCUGUUAGGUUACGUGUAACCCUGGCAGUUC